rnacentral:rRNA from 1 species
UCGUAAAACUCUGUUGUUAGGGAAGAACAAGUGCUAGUUGAAUAAGCUGGCACCUUGACGGUACCUAACCAGAAAGCCACGGCUAACUACGUGCCAGCAGCCGCGGUAAUACGUAGGUGGCAAGCGUUAUCCGGAAUUAUUGGGCGUAAAGCGCGCGCAGGUGGUUUCUUAAGUCUGAUGUGAAAGCCCACGGCUCAACCGUGGAGGGUCAUUGGAAACUGGGAGACUUGAGUGCAGAAGAGGAAAGUGGAAUUCCAUGUGUAGCGGUGAAAUGCGUAGAGAUAUGGAGGAACACCAGUGGCGAAGGCGACUUUCUGGUC